CUGGCCGCUCGCUGAGCUGCUUCCCUGGAUGCCGAGAAUGGGCAAAUUCCUGGAGAAGAUGCUGGAAGACUUCUCUCCAAGGCCUCCACAGAUGUCUCCUGGACGGAGAGAGACUCGGCCUCCUGUACCCAGAAGG